AAUCUUUCAGCCCCUCCGGCCUCGCCCCGAACCGUUUCCUCCUUCCCUUACCUGCGGCGGCCGCCGCCUCCUACCCCCGCGGCCCGCCUCUGCCCUCGCACGCCCCCCGGUCCUCCUUCCCAUCCGUUGAGACCGCAGCCGCCGCCUCCCCUCCACGGCCCUCCUCUGCCGCGCCUCAGCCCGCCUCGCCCGCGAGCCUCCACCUGCGAUCCGCGGCCGCCGCUGGAACCCGACUCCCGCCUCUGCCCUGUCGCCCCCGUCGCCCUCACGCGCCCGCUGCCCUGUGGCUGCUCUCCCGCGCCGCCUCAGGUCCCCUGUGCACGUACUUCUGCCGGCCGCGUCGCGCCGUCCCACUCGGGGUAGCCUCAACUGCGUUACUCCACCGCCGCCCACCACGAUGCGCCGUGGGCUUUGGCGACUCCUCCGCGCCCAAGAAGCUCCCCGGGAAGGUCCUGGAUGCGCCGUCUAUGCAGGACGACUUCUACCUCAAACUCGUCGACUGGACGUCCCAGAACAUGCGCGUCGUCGGCCUUGGCACCUGCGUCUACCUGUGGUCCGCCUCCAGCAGCAAGGUGAGCAAGCUGUGCGAUUUGGGGCUGAGGGAAAGCGUCUGCGCCGUCCGUGCACUGGACACACGAAGGCUCCUACCUCGCCGUUGGCACAGGCCAUGGAGAUGUCCAGGUUGCAUGAGCCACUCCAAAUAUAUUUAGGACCUACGAGACAUGUAAAAAGGGAGAUGAUUUGCUGGUAUGAUGUGCCUUUGAUAGUUAAUUACUGUUUCGAAAAAGUGGUCCGUGUUAGUAGAUUAUUCCUUAACACAUUUUUUAAGAUCAUGCCUGUGGUCCUCUUUUAUGGAUUUUGGAUUAGCUGCAGACAACAUGAUAUAACUGGGGCUUCAAACUCCCCUUGAAUAUAUUUUUCCUCUAUGUUACUUUGUUAUUGAUUAUGCUCUGCUAAUCAAUUUAGUGGGGAAUGGAGAGUAAUUAGCAUCUUACCAUUGCUUCCCUGGUUAGAUUUCCUCAACGGUAAAUAUCAGAGGUUACAGAACAUCACUUUUACCUGCAAUUGUUUUCCAUGACCAUGUCAAUAUAAAUUCCGUCUUUCACAGUGUGUUGUUGACGAAUCUGUUGUGAAUGUGAUGCAGGGCUGUAGCAUCCCAGCUAAUUAUUGAUAGUUAGCUUUUGCUUCUGUUUAUACUUUAUACUGCUGAUCAUAUUUAUAGUAUGGGGCAUAAGCGGAUCUACUGUCAUCUUCAUCAAGAUUCGGCUUCCCAGUACUAUUAGAUUAUGACACUGUCACCUCAUGUACGACAAAUUUGCUAAUGGCAGACCAAAUAAGACAUAGCUCAUUGCUGGUAAGUCCAUUUUCAGGAAGAAUCUGAUUUCCUAAAUUUACUUAAUUUCUUUUGUCAUGUGCACUCCUGCAUCAUUUUGUUGCGAGUUCACUUAUUCUAUAAAUACAGAUAAUGUAGGACAAAUUGACGUGAUAAGACGGAACCUAAAUACAAAAAAAUAAAUUUCUUUUGUCAUGUGCAUUCCUGGUUGGAUCCUAAAUACAAAUUGUUGGUUUUUGUAUGUACCUUUGAGUAGCUCAGAUAUAGCCGGUAAGAGAAAAAAAUAAAUUGACGUGAUAAGACGGAACCUUAAUUUCUAACAAUGUGUUAUCAUAGCAUUUGGUGCUGACUUUAUUUUUGUUACCCUCUUGCAUGGCCUUCCACUAGCUUAUGGCAAGGAAAAAUAAUAAUGGUUCUAUCCAAUAAUGCCAUUACAAAUGCUUAUAAUAUCAAAUUUACUCUGUUUGCCACAGUACUAUUAUUUUCUAUCAUUUUUGCACCACAGCUGACCCGCCGUCGUUGCAGACGUGCUUGGAGCCGCCGCUGACCAGCCAUCACCGACGACGCGCCCGAAGCUACCAUCGUCGACUCGCUCAUUUUCAUCGUAAGAGAUGAUCUCCGCUUCGUGUUUUUCCUGUGUGGAUUGCAUGGCUGAUGAGCCGUUUUGUGCCAAAGAAAUUCAAUUAGCUCGGUUAGCAUUGUGAAAUUAUGGGUUAAUUUUACUAUGUAUCGGGCGCAGAGUUUUUUAUUUUUGCUUGAUGAGGUGAUAGCUGACCAGUAUACUUGUUUUUUAUCUUGAAAAACAAUCCAUACAAAAUGUUUCUGGAACUCAUGUUGUCAAGUACUACACUUUUGGUGUUUAGAGUUGUUGUAAAAUGCUUCUGGUCCACAUUGGCAUAUUUCUUUGCAGGAAUAUGGAUGUGUUAAGCAAGGGAUGACAUAAA